rnacentral:rRNA from 1 species
AUCUACAGCCAUGCCACCCUGAACAAGCCCGAUGUCUGAUCUUGGAAGCUAAGCAAGGUCGAGCCUGGUUAGUACUUGGAUGGGAGACCACCUAGGAAGACCAGGUGCUGUAGGCA